AGAAGUUAAAUGAACUGAAGAAGGGGAUGGAGAAAGAGAUUGACAAUAUUGAGGCAAUGCGUAGGAAGGAGCUCCUUGCAGCAGAGGAGACAAUGGAACAACAAAAGCAGGAGCAGAGAGAGAUGGGGAUGAGACAUGAUGCUCUGAUGUCCCAGAAGAUGGCCGCAGCAGCAAAGCCCACCGCUGUGGAGGACAAGACGGAAAGCACGAAGCCCCCCAGCACGCUGGAGAAAAUGGAGAAGCUUGUGGCAGAGCAGAAGACAGAAAUUAAACGCGGGAUAUGCCUGGGAAGAAGGCAGCUGACAACCCUGGCAAACAGACUGUCUUCACUGCAGGAACUCCACUGCCCAACAUAG
rnacentral:lncRNA from 1 species